rnacentral:rRNA from 1 species
UACGAACCGUGCGAACGUUGUUCGGAUUCACUGGGCUUAAAGGGCGCGUAGGCGGGUGCUCAAGUCCGGGGUGAAAUCCUCCAGCUCAACUGGAGAACUGCCUCGGAUACUGGGUGUCUCGAGUGUGGUAGGGGUAUGCGGAACUAUCGGUGGAGCGGUGAAAUGCGUUGAGAUCGAUAGGAACUCCGGUGGCGAAGGCGGCAUACUGGACCACUACUGACGCUGAUGCGCGAAAGCCAGGGGAGCAAACGGG